UAUACUUCCUGGAAAUUUAAGCCAUAUUUGCUUUUGCUGUAUAUCUGCGUGUCUUGCUACACUGCCAACGGAGAAGACUACAGGGGCUUUCAGAACCAGACCAGCCUUCACGGUGGGAAACCCUGCCUCUUCUGGAACGAGACCUUCCAGCACCCUUACAACACCCUCAAGUACCCCAAUGGAGAGGGAGGUCUGGGCAGCCACAACUACUGCAGGAAUCCUGAUGGGGAUGUUCAACCGUGGUGCUACAUUGCCGAUCACGAGGAUGGCAUCUACUGGCGGUACUGUGACAUCCCCACAUGCCAGAUGCCGGGAAACUUGGGCUGUUUCAAAGACAGCGGGGACCCGCCCACCCUGUCCGGCUCCAGCGAGACGUCCAACAAGCUCACCAUCCAGAACUGCAUCACGUUCUGCAGGAAGCAAAGAUACAGGCUGGCUGGCAUGGAGUCGGGCUACGCCUGUUUCUGUGGCAACGAGGUGGACCUGCGCAGUCACGGGGAGUCGCCCAGCAUGGAGUGUAACCAUGUUUGUUUCGGCGACCACACGCAGCCCUGCGGCGGCGACGGCUGGGUCAUCAUCUUUGACACACGUGUGGGGGCCUGCGGCGGGAACUACACCUCCCCGUCGGGGGUGAUCUACUCCCCCGACUUCCCCGACAAAUACGGGGCGGGCCGCGUCUGCUACUGGACCAUCCAGGUCCCGGGGGCCGCCGCCAUCCUCUUCAACUUCACCUUCUUCGACGUGUCCCACCAGACCGACAUGGUGGAGCUCCUGGACGGCUACACCAACCAGGUGGUGGCCCGCUUCGACUUCCGCAGCCCGCCGCUGGAGCUGGUCAACGUCACGGGCGACUUCGUCAUCCUGUACUUCUACUCGGACCGAACCAACCAGGCGCAGGGAUUCGCUCUGCUGUAUCAAGGUGAGGAUGGCCUGGAGUCAUGGACACGCACCACGUCCAACGGCCACUCCACCCAGAUCCUCUACGUGAUCACCUCCAGCCCCGGGAAACCGGAGCACAACAUGCCAGGUCAGUGGCCUGGAAGCGGCGAGAGCACCGGCCACAGCGCUAUGUGGACCAUCUACGCUCUGGCUGCUCUCCUCAUCCUCACCGUCAUCGCCAUGGUGGCCAAGCUGCUGCUGCACGUCACAGUCAAGUCCCCGAACAUCCCCACGGUGAGCGGCUCCGACAGCUGCAGCCAGAGCACGGCGUCCACCGAGCCGUGGAUCAUCUUCUACCGGCCGUCCACCAUCUCGCUCUUCAAGAAGAAGCUAAAGAACCACCACGGAGACCGCAGCCCGCUGGUGGGCAACUAGCGCGCUCGCCAAGCUCCACCUUUAAUCCGAAACGCCUCUGUCAACCCACAAAAUAAAAAAAAAAACUGCUCUGUAGGAGGAGCCGCC
rnacentral:lncRNA from 1 species